rnacentral:rRNA from 1 species
GGAUUAGGCAUGCAAGUCGGACGGUAGGACUUUAUCGUAAGAUAGAGUUUGAGAGUGGCGAACGGGUGAGUAAUACGUAGGAAUCUACCCUUAAGACGGGGACAACUCAGGGAAACUUGGGCUAAUACCGGAUGCGAGUGUAUGAGAGUACAUUUAAAAGGAUGGUGAAAGCUAUCGCUUAGGGAUGAGCCUGCGGUCUAUUAGCUAGUUGGUGGGGUAAGAGCUCACCGAGGCGAUGAUAGAUAGGCGGCCUUAACGGGUGGUCGCCCACACUGGGAUUGAGAUACGGCCCAGACUCCUACGGGAGGCAGCAGUCGAGAAUAGUCUACAAUGGCCGGAAGGCUGAUAGUGCGACGCCGCGUGAACGAGGGAGCCCUUCGGGGUGUAAAGUUCUUUUCUAUACGAGCAGUGCUAUAUAUAUUCAAAGUAUAUAUAGAGGGAUAGUAGUAUAGGAAUAAGCAACGGCUAACUCCGUGCCAGCAGCCGCGGUAACACGGGGGUUGCGAGCGUUGUCCGGAAUUACUAGGCGUAAAGGGCAGGUAGGCGGAUCUACGAGUUUUUUGUUAAAGGCUACGGCUCAACUGUAGUAAGGCAGGAGAUACUGUAGGUCUGGAAUGCGGUAGGGGAAGACAGAAUUCCUGGUGUAGCGGUGGAAUGCGCAGAGAUCAGGAGGAAUACCGAAGGCGAAGGCAGUCUUCUAGGCCGUAAUUGACGCUUAACUGCGAAGGUGUGGGGAUCAAACAGGAUUAGAUACCCUGGUAGUCCACACAGUAAACGAUAAUCACUAGAUGUCGGGUUCUAGAUGGAUUCGGUGUCGGAGCCAACGCGAUAAGUGAUUCGCCUGGGGAGUACGAUCGCAAGGUUGAAACUCAAAGGAAUUGACG